rnacentral:misc_RNA from 1 species
UUGUGCAGGUUAAGAAGCAUUUUUUCCUCUAGUUCAUUCUUCCUGUAAUUAAUGGCUAUCGAGUAAUAGUGCCUGUUCAAUCCAUGGAUCAGUGCCUGAAUGGAUGGUUUAUUCAGAUGCCCAAGAUUAGAAGUCGUCUGUCGUGGUUCUUGGCCAAGCAUCAUUGUUUGUGGGUUAAUCAAACGAAAAGCAUCAAUCACCACCUUCCCUUUAACACUCUGAAUUGGAUCCACCACAACUGCCAC